rnacentral:snoRNA from 1 species
ACUCCACUCCACUCCAUUUGUGUUUCAUGAGCCCGCUUACCCCAAUGAGCUGAUGAGUCAAAAAAUGGACAAAAAAAUUUGAAACGGAAUUAACGUCUCUUCUGUUUUUAUGUUUCUCCCUGCGUAAAAAUAUGUUAACGUUUCUACACGCACGUUG